GAUGAACGCUGGCGGCGUGCCUAAUACAUGCAAGUCGAACGCAUUGUGGUUAAAAUGAUAUGAAGAACUUGUUCAGAUUUGAUUUUCAACAUUGCAAUGAGUGGCGAACGGGUGAGUAACACGUGGGAAACCUACCUCUUAGCAGGGGAUAACAUUUGGAAACAAAUGCUAAUACCGUAUAAUAUUAAACCGCAUGGUUUUAGUUUAAAAGAUGGUCUUGCUAUCACUAAGAGAUGGUCCCGCGGUGUAUUAGUUAGUUGGUGAGGGUAAUUGGCUCACCCAAGACAAUGAUACAUAGCCGAGUUGAGAGACUGACCGGCCACAAUGGGACUGAGACACGGCCCAUACUCCUAACGGGAGGCAGCAGUAGGGAAUCUUCCACAAUGGACGAAAGUACUGAUGGAGCAACGACCGCGUGUGUGA
rnacentral:rRNA from 1 species